rnacentral:rRNA from 1 species
UACAGAGGGGGCAAGCGUUGUUCGGAAUUACUGGGCGUAAAGGGUGCGUAGGCGGCCUUCUAAGUCGGACGUGAAAUCCCUGGGCUCAACCCAGGAACUGCGUCCGAUACUGGUUGGCUUGAAUCCGGGAGAGGGACGUGGAAUUCCAGGUGUAGCGGUGAAAUGCGUAGAUAUCUGGAGGAACACCGGUGGCGAAGGCGACGUCCUGGACCGGCAUUGACGCUGAGGUGCGAAAGCCAGGGGAGCAAACGGG